GCGAUCUCCUCAGACAGAACCCCGACGUCCAUUCACACGCACCUCCUUGGCCAUAAUCGUCCCCUACCUCCACCUUCACUUUCGGAUUCCCUCGAAGCAUUUUCAAUCCCCGUUCUCACCUACGGUAGCUAGCCACAUAAGUCAGCUAGCUAGCUGGCUAACUUGUAUCAACGUUUUUACUUCUGACACCAAUGUAAUGACCUGACUAGAUCAUAAAUGAACAAUUGUCCAGACAGAGGCUUGAGUUUGCGAAUUGACGGUUUAUUGAACCAACUUUACACAGGCUACUGUUUGGGCCGUAGCACACGCCAAAUAGAUGACAGAUAACCCACAAGCCAAUCGUGACCUUCUCUUGUGAAGCCCAGACGUAAGAGAGAGAGAACAAAGGCUGAACCUGGUCUUAACUUUCAAUGCCCAACCCCCCUCCACGCCACUCCGCCAACCACCAGGAUGCCCGGCAUCAGAACAUUCCAGGCAUUCCCGUGAUUGGCAGAUAGCAGGUUGAUUGACAUGUCGGACCCCGCAAACACCGGGUACUGGUCAGUACAACACAACCACCUCCUAGCCUAGCACAUAACACACAGCUGUCUGUGCGGGUCGCUACAAUACUUUGAAAAGAGCUACGACUGCAGUAUUUUUCUAACCCUAAUAUAGGGCGUGUCAUGCCAAAUAGUGUCCCCUUGCCAAAUAGUGUCCCCCUCUACGUCACAAUGGGAUUCGAUUAGUUCUGGCUUCUGCUGCUAGGGCUGUUGCUUGAAAUUGAAACAUUCUGACCGGAUUACGUAAUGAAUCAAAGCGUCCGUUGCUAUGCUGGUUGCCUGGUUACCUCGUAGCGGUCGCGAAGGAAGGAGGACGCGGACAGUUCUAGUUCUAUUUCACCUCAGAAGCGCUCGCUUAGUCCGCGCAAAAAUGAUUACCUCCGAAUUGCUCUCCAAGGACGGUGUUUUUGACCGUGACAACCUGCUGACUACCUGCUGCUUCAGUGGACCGAAGAGACUGGAAAGAGAACACUAUUUCUUUACCAUGUAUUUGUUUUUAUAUAAAUAAGCAAAGUACUAUGAAGGCACUGAUCCCGACAAGAGGCGCAUCAUUCCUAGGGGAGGCAGAGAAAUUCACAAUUCAGUAGCGAGACCCAUACAGAAAGAGAGAGAGGAAGAAAGUGAGAAAGAAAGUGACAGAGGGAGAGAGAGAGGUGGGAAUAGAGUGAAAAACAGAGAGAGAAAUGAAGAGCGAGAGAAAGACAUCAGUGCAAACUUACUUAGACUUUAGUAUUUCAACAACUCUUCUCUUCCAAUUUGUUAGGCAAUCACCUGUACCUACCGGGGAAGGAUGGCCAGCCACACAGGAGAGUGAUUUUCACCAAGGAGGAAAUGGAGGCCGUGCUGACAGAGAUGCAUGCUGGACAUUUCGGAGUGAAUCGCAUGAUUGCCAAAAUCAACGGUCAACCACUGAAAUCCCUGACGCCUUACACUUCGGUGAAGCCCGUGAGACAAAGUAUGUUAAGCCUUGGUUGACAUUUGAGAAAGCAAUAAAUGGUUGUUAUGCUGAGCUCAUGAAAAAAGACAAGCCAGUGUAUGAAUCAAACAGAUUUGCAUAUGAAUGGAGUGGAAAUUAACUGAUUUUGUGAUCUGCUAGGUAAGCAACUUUAAUGUGUCAAGCAGAUUACAUGUUUUCAUUGCCAUUUCCGAAACGUAGCAACGUGUUUAAGACAUGGAUUUCAUGUUGUAAUGUUAACAAGGUACCAAAAUGUGGUUAGAAUGAAUGUUUUCAUUUUAUUAGCUAAACAAAACUUGUUUAAACAGUGAAUAAAUCAGCCUUGUUUGCAUAGCGAUGAUGAAAAGAACGUAAUUUAGGCUGUAAUGAUCUCUAAAAUUUGAAUCAUUAGGUAAUCACACCUUUGAUAUAGCAACGGACGCUAAUAGUUUGUCAAAUCCCAUCGUGACGUAGAGGGGGACCCUAUUUGGCUGGGGGACAUUAUUUGGCAUGACAGGCCCAACAAAUUAACCACCAGCCAAUGUGACUGGUGAAAUACACAUUCUUGCGUUACUCUACCCACAUUUGGCAGGUGGCUGGUGUUCAUUUUAUGCCCUACAUAGGACACUGAGAAGAUAGUUUCAAGCUAUAUAUACACUGAACAAAAACAUUAACGCAACAUGCAACAAUUUCAAAGAUUUUACUGAGUUACAGUUCAUAUAAGGAAAUCAGUCAAUUGAAAUAAAUAAAUUAGACCCUAAUCUAGGGAUACAGAUAUGCAUCUGUUGGUCACAGAUACCUUUAAAAAAAGUAGGGGAGUGGAUCAGAAAACCAGUCCAUAUGUGGUAAAAAAUACAAUUUGCCUCAUCCAGCAUGACACAUCUCCUUCACAUAGAGUUGAUCAGGCUGUUGAUUGUGGCCUGUUGAAUGUUGUCCCACUCCUCUUCAAUGACUGUACAAAGUUGCUGGAUAUUGGUGGAACACGCUGUCAUACACGUCAAUCCAGAGCAUCCCAAACAUGCUCAAUAGGUGACCUGUUUGGUGAAUGAGUAUGCAGGCCAUGGAAGAACUGGAACAUUUUCAGCUUCCAGAAAAUGUGUAUAGAUCCUUGCGUCAUGGGGUCGUGCAUUAUCAUGCUGAAACAUGAGGUGAUGUUGGCAGAUGACUGGCAAGACAAUGAGCCUCAGGAUUUCAUCACGAUAUCUCUGUGCAUUCAAAUGCCCAUUGAUAAAAUGCAAUUGUGUUCGUUGUUCGUAGCUUAUGCCUUCCCACACCAUAAACCCACUGCCACCAUGGGGCACUCUGUUCACAAAGUUGACAGCAACAAACCGCUCGCCCACAUGACACCAUACACGUGGUCUGCAGUUGUGAGGCUGGUUGGCAGUACUGCCAAAUUCUCUGAAACUACAUUGGAUGCAGCUUAUGGUAGAGACAUGAACAUUUCAUUAUCUGGUGGACAUUCCUGCAGUCAGAAUACCAAUUGCACGGUCCCCCAAACUUGAGACAUUUGGUUGUGUGACAAAACUGCACAUUUUAGAGUGGCCUUUUAUUUCCCCCAGCAAACGCUGCACCUGUGUAAUGAUCAUGCUGUUUAAUCAGCUUAUUUAUAUGCCACACCUGUCAGGUGGAUAGAUUAUCUUGGUAAAGUAGAAAUGCUCAUUAACUAGGAUGUAAACAAAUUUGUGCACAACGUUUGAGAGAAAUAAGCUUUUUUGUGCUUAUGGACAAUUUAUGUAAUCCUUUAAUUCAGCUCAUUAAACAUGGGACCAGGACUUUGUGUGUUGCGUUUAUAUUUUUGUUCAGUAUACA